AACGUAGGGGGCGAGCGUUGCCCGGAUUCACUGGGCGUAAAGCGGGUGUAGGCGGUCCGUUAAGUCGGAUGUGAAAUCUCCGAGCUCAACUCGGAAACUGCAUCCGAUACUGUCGGACUUGAGGACGGUAGAGGUCGGUGGAAUGCGCGGUGUACCGGUGAAAUGGACAGAUAUCGCGCGGAACACCAGUGGCGAAGGCGGCCGACUGGGCCGAUCCUGACGCUGAGACCCGAAAGCCAGGGUAGCGAACCGG
rnacentral:rRNA from 1 species